UGGCGGUAAUGCUUAAACACAUGCAAGUCGAACGAAUUCUUUCGGGGAUUAGUGGCGGACGGGUGAGUAACACGUGAGAACCACCUUCAGAAUGGGGAUAACAGUUGGAAACGACUGCUAAUACCCGAUGUGCCGGAGAGGUGAAAGAUUUAUCGUUCUGAAGAAGGGCUCGCGGCUGAUUAGCUAGUUGGUAGGGUAAAGGCUUACCAAGGCAACGAUCAGUAACUGGUCCCGAGAGGAUGAGCAGUCACACUGGAACUGAGAAACGGUCCAGACUCC
rnacentral:rRNA from 1 species